rnacentral:tRNA from 1 species
GCCGCGUUCGUCUAGUUUGGUCUAGGACACCUGGUUCUCAUCCAGGAGAUCGUGGGUUCGAAUCCCACACGCGGUA